rnacentral:rRNA from 1 species
GACGAACGUUGGCGGCGUGCUUAAUACAUGCAAGUCCACUGAAGCAGUGGUAGCAAUAUCGCUGUGGAGGUGGCGCACGGGUGAGUAACACGUAGGUAAUCUGCCUUCAGGUCUGGCAUAACUCCGGGAAACCGGGGCUAAUAGCAGAUGAUGCAGCGGCUCGACAUCGAGACAGUUGUUAAAGCUAUGGCGCCUGAAGAUGAGCCUGCGUCUGAUUAGCUAGUUGGCGGGGUAACGGCCCACCAAGGCAACGAUCAGUAGCUGGUCUGAGAGGAUGAUCAGCCACACUGGAACUGAGACACGGUCCAGACUCCUACGGGAGGCAGCAGUAAGGAAUAUUGCUCAAUGGGAGAAAUCCUGAAGCAGCAACGCCGCGUGAGGGACGAAGGGCUUUUGCUUGCAAACCUCUGUAGUGAGAGAAAAAAAUCCCAAUCUUUGGGACAUGAUGGUAUCUCAAAAGUAAGCCCCGGCUAACUACGUG